CCAUUAAAGGCCUCCAUUCCUAUUUCCUAAGUCUCUGAGUUAUUUCAUUGAAGCGCACUCAAUGUUCUCCAUUAAAGCGUUCUCCAUUGAAGCAUUCUCCGUUGAAUCUAAUUCUUGUAUCCUCCAUUUAAGCAGCUUCUAAGCCCCUAUUUCUCAACUGGUUAAGGUUUAACAUUGCACAUCUUGACUGAUCAACCCUAUCCCGUAGGGCAUAUACUUGUGUGAUCUUCGUUGGCUCGUACUAAUGUGUGGAUGAGAAAUGUGGAUGAGAUGAGAACAUAAACCAUUUGUUUGAAUACUUUACCAAAUUGCACAAUGAAUUUCAUCGUAUGUCUGUCAUGACCAAGGAUUACUUGCAUGAAUUUAACUCUGAUGCAGAUGCACAAGCAAAUUUUGCCGUUAGUCUUGCUGAUGGUCAAGUUCAGGAGGUGUUCUCUUAGCUCAAAUUUGUAAAGUCGGGUUUUGGAACCUCAAUAGCAGAAUCAGUUAGCUGCUGCAUACCUUUUUGGCUUUUCAUCUUUUAUUUAUUAACUUUCAAAUAAUAUUGCAUACAGGUGAAUAAGAAAUUGCACAUGCUUUUGGGCUGAACAUACUCUAGAAAAGUCAUCAACAUUGUGGCCCUGUGACAUUAAACUUGUAGUUUUACAUGUCUAGCAAGAAUUGACACCAUGAAAACCACAAAAGUGAGAUACAGUAUGGAGAAACAAAACCUGAUACUAAAAAGGUAUUUCAGGUAGCAUUAACAAGAUCUCAGUAAUCAGUAUACUAUAUACAUUAACAUGUAUAAAGUGAAAAUUAGGUAAACAAAUCUACAAAAAAUAGUAUAACUAUGCUUAUCUCAAUUCAAUAAACUUUCUACUCCACUAAGAUGAGCCAUAAGACCAUAUCUCAAUUUGGUGUUUCAUUUAUUUGUUUUGAGUAUGUCAGGAACGUUCAAAUUGACACUUUAGUUUACUGAGGACUACCCAAAUAAGCCUCCUACAGUGCGCUUUGUCUCUCGGAUGUUUCAUCCAAAUAGUAUCGGAGAAAAAGAGCCCAAUUAGUUGAACGUUCUUCUGCUGCUAGGAUCCCUACAACGUGGGGGCCUUUCACAGCUUAUUUUACAAGUCAUACCUAGACAGGGGUGGCAAAUAUGUAACUUUCUAUAUAUGCAAUACAAACAUUUUUUUUGGACGAAAAUUGUAAUAUUACUGCCUUUUUUAAUGAAAAUAUGUAACUUUAUAUAUAUGUUAAUGUUUAUGUAUCAAUUUAACUGAAAAAAAUGCAAAUUUUUUUAUUUUUUUUUUUGAUUUUUGUAGGCUAUUUUUGGCACUGGUUUUGACCAGAACCGGUGUCAAAAGUUUUAUUAAAAUUAUUUUUUACACUUUUUGCACCGGUUCAAAGCAAGAACCGGUGCCUAAAGUUGGGUUUUUCGCAUCGGUUCU